rnacentral:rRNA from 1 species
UACGGGGGGAGCAAGCGUUGUUCGGAUUUACUGGGCGUAAAGGGCGCGUAGGCGGUCAGCACAAGUCAGUUGUGAAAUCUCCGGGCUUAACUCGGAAAGGUCAACUGAUACUGUGCGACUAGAGUGCAGAAGGGGCAACUGGAAUUCUCGGUGUAGCGGUGAAAUGCGUAGAUAUCGGGAGGAACACCAGUGGCGAAGGCGACUACCUGGCCCAUUCUUGACGCUGAGGCGCGAAAGCUAGGGGAGCGAACGGG